rnacentral:pre_miRNA from 1 species
AACACCUGGGCAUCUUGUUAAAAUGCAGAUUCUGAUGCAGUAGGUGUGGGGUGGGGCUUGAGAGUCUGCAUUUUUAACAAGCUCCCAGGUAACACUGA